GGACAAGAUUUUACACUUAAGUCAAGAAGGUUUACUUUAUUUAGCAGAAAAAGUUAAUCCAUUUUGGCAUGAUAUCCUGGUAAAUUUUUCCAAGUUAAAAAAUAAGCUUCAAGCUGAAAACAAUACUGAAAUUUUGACCCAGUCCAUAUGGCUGAAUCCGAACAUCAAAAUGGAUGGCAAGAUGAUUUUGAGGUUCAAAUAUGUUGAAAAUAGUAUAUUCUUCAUUAAUGAUCUGAUGUCAGAUAAUAA
rnacentral:lncRNA from 1 species